rnacentral:rRNA from 1 species
GACGGAGGGGGCAAGCGUUGUCCGGAAUCACUGGGCGUAAAGGGCGCGUAGGUGGCUUCGUGCGUCGGUGCUGAAAGCGCCGGGCUUAACCCGGCGAGGCGUGCCGAUACGACGAGGCUCGAGGCAGGGAGAGGGUAGCGGAAUUCCGGGUGUAGUGGUGAAAUGCGUAGAGAUCGGGAAGAACACCAAUGGCGAAGGCAGUCGGCUGGGCCGUUGCUGACACUGAGGCGCGACAGCGUGGGGAGCAAACAGG